GCGGCGGCGGCAGCAUUAUGCGUGAUUACUGACAGGCACCAGCUGCUGCCGCCACAGCCGUCUCAAACGCACUAUGUGGACUCUCCGAUCUAGAGGCAGAUUCCUGACUAAUCCCAGAGGGCUGGCCCAGCCUGUGCUCCCCGGGCUGCUAGGAAGCAAUGACCACUCUUGUUAGCCCAAGUUGAAGAAAGCCGGGCUGUGCCUGGGAGCCGAGAGAGGCGGUAAUAUUUAGAAGCUGCACAGGAGAGGAACAUGAACUGACGAGUAAACAUGUAUGGAAAUUAUUCUCACUUCAUGAAGUUUCCCGCAGGCUAUGGAGGGUGUUCUUCCCCUGCUCUCCAACCUCUGCUCUCCACAUCGCUAGGGCUGUGAAAACAGAUACUGUGAGCCCUGAACCCUCCAGGAGGCUGCUUCCCCAUGACACUAGUGACCAGUAAAAUGAAAAGGAGGAGCAAAGGAGAUGUUGAGUCACAGAAAUGAAACCCAGGCAACCAGCCUAGAAGAAACACUCCAAAAUAUUCAUUAAGUGCUUUGUUUUCCGUUCCUCUGACAUCUUGUAAAUGCUUUUUGAAUUAAAGAUGAUAACAGGCUUU
rnacentral:sRNA from 1 species